GACGAACCGUACAAACGUUAUUCGGAAUCACUGGGCUUAAAGGGUGCGUAGGCGGUGCAGAAAGUAGGGUGUGAAAUCCCUCGGCUCAACCGAGGAACUGCGCUCUAAACUACUGUGCUAGAGGGAGAUAGAGGUGAGCGGAACUUAGGGUGGAGCGGUGAAAUGCGUUGAUAUCCUAAGGAACACCGGUGGCGAAAGCGGCUCACUGGAUCUCUUCUGACGCUGAGGCACGAAAGCGUGGGGAGCGAUCCGG
rnacentral:rRNA from 1 species